rnacentral:lncRNA from 1 species
AUCAAGGGUCCCCUACACCAUAUGGAGGAACAGUUAACAGUUUCAUCAAUUCUUACAAACCAUUCGUGUUUUUGGAUAGAUUAUUCAUACCCUUACAUCCUGAUACAGUAGAUCAAAUCAACAACAUUUACAUUCCUUUCUCAACCAACAAACAUGAUCAAUCUUUCUGGAACCAAACAUCUCUUGGCAGCUUUACCACAAAGUCAGCAGAUAACUCUAGAUCAACAACCAAAUACCACAACCCACCGCUGCAAAUAACUCUUGGCUUUGGUAAUUCAAGUGUUUGAAUAAACUGAAGUUUUUC